rfam:Pteropus alecto contig81716, whole genome shotgun sequence.
AUUAAAAGUGACUGACAAGACUGCUGACCAUAAGUACCAAGAGAGACUUCCAAAGAUAACAUUCCUUCUGGAUACUGUAUGAUAAAUUCUCAGCUCUGGCCUUUUUGCCAAGAUCCCUGUGGCUGGGCUCUGGCCCCAGAUUAAACUCUU